rnacentral:rRNA from 1 species
AGCGAACGCUGGCGGCAGGCCUAACACAUGCAAGCCGAACGAACUCUUCGGAGUUAGUGGCGGACGGGUGAGUAACACGUGGGAACGUGCCUUUUGGUUCGGAAUAACUCAGGGAAACUUGUGCUAAUACCGAAUGUGCCCUUCGGGGGAAAGAUUUAUCGCCAUUAGAGCGGCCCGCGUCUGAUUAGCUAGUUGGUGAGGUAACGGCUCACCAAGGCGACGAUCAGUAGCUGGUCUGAGAGGAUGACCAGCCACACUGGGACUGAGACACGGCCCAGACUCCUACGGGAGGCAGCAGUGGGGAAUCUUGCGCAAUGGGCGAAAGCCUGACGCAGCCAUGCCGCGUGAAUGAUGAAGGUCUUAGGAUUGUAAAAUUCUUUCACCGGGGACGAUAAUGACGGUACCCGGAGAAGAAGCCCCGGCUAACUUGGUG